UACGAAGGGGGCUAGCGUUGUUCGGAAUUACUGGGCGUAAAGCGCGCGCAGGCGGUCUUCCAAGUCAGUGGUGAAAGCCUGGAGCUCAACUCCAGAACUGCCAUUGAAACUGUUAGACUUGAGUACGAGAGAGGUGAGUGGAAUUCCCAGUGUAGAGGUGAAAUUCGUAGAUAUUGGGAAGAACACCAGUGGCGAAGGUCGGCU
rnacentral:rRNA from 1 species